rnacentral:rRNA from 1 species
AUACGGAGGAUGCGAGCGUUAUCCGGAUUUAUUGGGUUUAAAGGGAGCGUAGGCGGGAGCUUAAGUCAGCGGUUAAAUGGUGCGGCUCAACCGUGCCCUGCCGUUGAAACUGGGUUUCUUGAGAGUGCAAGAGGCGGAUGGAAUUUUAGGUGUAGCGGGUGAAUGCUUAGAUAUCAUGAAGAACUCCGAUUGCGAAGGCAGUCCGCUGGGGCACGUCUGACGCUGAUGCUCGAAGGUGCGGGAAUCAAACAGGAUUAGAUACCCUGGUAGUCCGCACGGUAAACGAUGAUUACCCGCUGUCGGCGGUAGACAGUCGGCGGCCAAGCGAAAGCGAUAAGUAAUCCACCUGGGGAGUACGCCGGCAACGGUGAAACUCAAAGGAAUUGACGGGG